UGGGGAAUAUUGGGCAAUGGGCGCAAGCCUGACCCAGCGACGCCGCGUGAGGGAAGAAGGCCCUUGGGUCGUAAACCUCUGUUGUAUGGGAAGAAGGACGUGACGGUACCAUACGAGGAAGUCCCGGCUAACUACGUGCCAGCAGCCGCGGUAAUACGUAGGGGACGAGCGUUGUCCGGAAUUACUGGGCGUAAAGGGCGCGCAGGCGGAUAUUUAAGUCAGCUGUUAAAGUCAUGGGCUCAACUCAUGGAUGCGGUUGAAACUGGAUAUCUCGAGUGCUGGAGAGGUAGGCGGAAUUCCCGGUGUAGCGGUGAAAUGCGUAGAUAUCGGGAAGAACACCAGUGGCGAAGGCGGCUUACUGGCCAGCAACUGACGCUGAGGCGCGAAAGCCAGGGGAGCGAACGGG
rnacentral:rRNA from 1 species